rnacentral:rRNA from 2 species
AACGAACUCUGGUAUUGAUUGGUGCUUGCAUCAUGAUUUACAUUUGAGUGAGUGGCGAACUGGUGAGUAACACGUGGGAAACCUGCCCAGAAGCGGGGGAUAACACCUGGAAACAGAUGCUAAUACCGCAUAACAACUUGGACCGCAUGGUCCGAGUUUGAAAGAUGGCUUCGGCUAUCACUUUUGGAUGGUCCCGCGGCGUAUUAGCUAGAUGGUGNGGUAACGGCUCACCAUGGCAAUGAUACGUAGCCGACCUGAGAGGGUAAUCGGCCACAUUGGGACUGAGACACGGCCCAAACUCCUACGGGAGGCAGCAGUAGGGAAUCUUCCACAAUGGACGAAAGUCUGAUGGAGCAACGCCGCGUGAGUGAAGAAGGGUUUCGGCUCGUAAAACUCUGUUGUUAAAGAAGAACAUAUCUGAGAGUAACUGUUCAGGUAUUGACGGUAUUUAACCAGAAAGCCACGGCUAACUACGUGCCAGCAGCCGCGGUAAUACGUAGGUGGCAAGCGUUGUCCGGAUUUAUUGGGCGUAAAGCGAGCGCAGGCGGUUUUUUAAGUCUGAUGUGAAAGCCUUCGGCUCAACCGAAGAAGUGCAUCGGAAACUGGGAAACUUGAGUGCAGAAGAGGACAGUGGAACUCCAUGUGUAGCGGUGAAAUGCGUAGAUAUAUGGAAGAACACCAGUGGCGAAGGCGGCUGUCUGGUCUGUAACUGACGCUGAGGCUCGAAAGUAUGGGUAGCAAACAGGAUUAGAUACCCUGGUAGUCCAUACCGUAAACGAUGAAUGCUAAGUGUUGGAGG